AAAAUUCUCUUAAACAGGCGGUUCCCCUAGGGAGAGGCGUGGGCAUUGCACUGCGCUCGUGCUGACCCCUGCCACUACCCCAAACUGGGGCUGAUGGGGCAUGCAAUUUUUAUAGUGAGGGACUGCGUUCGCGCUCUCCCCCU
rnacentral:snRNA from 1 species